GAGACCACGCCUUUCUACUGCCCACAGUAGAAUGGGUGUAGUCUCCAUACAAUAUAGAAGAGCUGAUUGUAGACUGAUUGGCUAGUACUAUAGUAGUUCCAUACAAGAAGAUUCAAGGAAGCUAUGGUGUAUUUAUCAGGAGGUAAAGUCCUUGAGAACAGGUCAUGGCUGAGUGUGGACGGUAUCGUUGACUUGUUCUGGGCUGUCAUUAACUUCUUUGUCUUGUUUGCUGAUCAAGGGAGACGUAUUGGUCGUGUUGGUAAGGGUGCUGGUGGUGGUGCUGGACCUCCCCCCAUGGGCGGUGGAUGAGGAAGAGCACUAGCCCUAACUGGGACAGCCCCAACAUGUGGUCAACAGACACUGCUCCAUUCUACAGUAAUGACAUCACCUCCAAUAUGAGCCCCCUACCUAUCAGCAGUGGCACCACCGACCCAACCUCACCCUCCGAGGACACCACACUCUCAGCCACCACCUAUGACCUCUUUGAGAACCAAAAGUAUCUGGAGCUUGAGCAACGCUGAUAGUUCAACACUUCUUUCCUGGGCCCAACAGAUAUCUGAACCCCCACUAAGCAAGACUGAGUAAAGCCCCCCUCUGACCUCUGCAACGAUUUGGACUAUGAAUUUUGGAUAACGAUUUCAACUUAACCUCAUUUCAAUUGAGUUGUCUGCUAUUAGCUCUAGUAUCAGCAUUUUAGCGAGUGAUUAUCUAGCCAGCUAUCUAGUUUAUUAUUGUUAUCGUGUAGCUACUAGUAGAUCGUUCAGUUGUCAUUUUGAGAGCUGUAUGUGUUUAGUAGCUAGCUGAUGACAUUAUUGUGUCUUGGCAUUAUAUGAAUUAACCAUUAACAA